GUGGGGAAUCUUGCGCAAUGGGCGAAAGCCUGACGCAGCCAUGCCGCGUGAAUGAUGAAGGUCUUAGGAUUGUAAAAUUCUUUCACCGGGGACGAUAAUGACGGUACCCGGAGAAGAAGCCCCGGCUAACUUCGUGCCAGCAGCCGCGGUAAUACGAAGGGCGCUAGCGUUGCUCGGAAUUACUGGGCGUAACGGGCGCGUAGGCGGACAGUUUAGUCAGAGGUGAAAGCCCAGGGCUCAACCUUGGAAUUGCCUUUGAUACUGGCUGUCUUGAGUACGGGAGAGGUGAGUGGAACUCCGAGUGUAGAGGUGAAAUUCGUAGAUAUUCGGAAGAACACCAGUGGCGAAGGCGACUCACUGGCCCGUUACUGACGCUGAGGCGCGAAAGCGUGGGGAGCAAACAGGAUUAGAUACCCCUGUAGUCC
rnacentral:rRNA from 1 species